UGAAUUAAGCUACUAGGAUGUAUUCCUCUUUAGCACGAGUCUUGCAGUAUAUGCCCAUAUACCACCAACAAUCCACUACCAAUUCGGGUUCCAGGUUUGUUACUUUCUUUAAAAUUAUUUGUUCUAGACCAAAUAUACAACAUAUUAUUCUUUUAUUAUUAUUGUUAUAUGUAUUCUCCUAUUUUUUAGAUGGUGACAUAUAUAAAUGUAGGUAAUAAAGUUGCUACAAAUCAAGACCAUAAUAUGAAGAUGCAUAUAAAAGACUUAUAAGAAAGUCGAACAUCGUCAAGAAGAAUUUGCAUAUGAUGAAGAAGGUUUGGAACCUAUUCGAAAUAAUGAAUCAUAAGUUAAAGAGUUUGUUAGGGUCAAAAUGAUGUGUCAAACUAAAAAAUAGAAAUUUGAACAUGAAUUCGAAUUCUGAUUCGAACUCGAAUUCUGAUUCGAACUCGAAUUCAGAUUUGUAUACUGUUGAUACCACAAAAUCGAAGAGCAAAAGGCGAACGCCAGCAUGGUGUGACAGAAUACUGUGGUAUGGGGAGGGGAUCCAUCAGAAGUCAUAUACUCGGUGGGAGUCACGGUUCUCUGACCACCGGCCCGUUUGUGCAAUGUUUUUAAUAUUUUUACAUAACCAAAGGAGUUGAGAAGACCGAUUGUGGCUGCUUGCGAGUUUUGACCAGUCAAUUUUGUGGAUGAAAUGCCUUACAUUUUAAAAGACGACAAAUAUGAGACAAAGUACAAGACUGACUUAAAAGAGGGAACUCAAUUUACUAAGGAGAAGGUUUUGGUAACUCGAAUGAUAUGCAUCUUCAAAGGGACUCGACUAUCUUUAAAUUGUGUAUCCACUGUAUCACUAAUUUAUGUAACAUGAGACUUUGUAUUUUAUUUUAUUUGUACACUUGAUAUUUAUCUUAAUAGUUUUCUCCAACCCGGGUAGCACCCGGGUGAUAACCUA